rnacentral:rRNA from 1 species
CUGUUGUAAGGGAAGAAGAGAUCAUAGAGGGAAUGCUAUGAUUGUGACGGUACCUUACCAGAAAGCCACGGCUAACUACGUGCCAGCAGCCGCGGUAAUACGUAGGUGGCGAGCGUUAUCCGGAAUUAUUGGGCGUAAAGGGUGCGUAGGCGGCACACUAAGUCUAAGGUUAAAGUUCGAGGCUCAACUUCGGAUUGCCUUAGAAACUGGUGAGCUAGAGUGCAGGAGAGGGCAAUGGAAUUCCAUGUGUAGCGGUAAAAUGCGUAGAUAUAUGGAGGAACACCAGUGGCGAAGGCGGUUGCCUGGCCUGUAACUGACGCUGAGGCACGAAAGCGUGGGGAGCAAAUAGGAUUAGAUACCCUAGUAGUCCACGCUGUAAACGAUGAUUACUAAGUGUUGGAGAAAUUCAGUGCUGCAGUUAACGCAAUAAGUAAUCCGCCUGGGG